rnacentral:lncRNA from 1 species
CCCGCAACAUCACGCUGACAUGAGAUUAGAUUUUAUUUUAACCGGACCGACCGAGGGUCCGGCAGUUCUCCUGGCGUUAAAUGCAAUGACAUCAUGAGUGAUCGCAUCAAGUUUUGAUGGAACUUGCAUCAUUUAACGAGCCUUCACCCUACGAGGACUCCGCACUGAACAUUUCGAUGAAAUGAUGCAGGACCUAUAUAUCCAUAACAAACACAUGGGAGAACAUUUCUCUAGUCUUGCAUGCAAAACUUGCUC